rnacentral:rRNA from 1 species
AAAGGAAUUGACGGGGGCCCGCACAAGCGGCGGAGCAUGUUGCUUAAUUCGACGCAACGCGAAGAACCUUACCAAGGUUUGACAUGGCCGGAAAACUCAUGGAGACAUGGGGUCCUUCGGGGCCGGUCACAGGUGGUGCAUGGCUGUCGUCAGCUCGUGUCGUGAGAUGUUGGGUUAAGUCCCGCAACGAGCGCAACCCUUGUCCCAUGUUGCCAGCAUUCGGUUGGGGACUCAUGGGAGACUGCCGGGGUCAACUCGGAGGAAGGUGGGGAUGACGUCAAGUCAUCAUGCCCCUUAUGUCUUGGGCUGCAAACAUGCUACAAUGGCCGGUACAAAGGGCUGCGAGCCUGCGAGGGUGAGCGAAUCCCGGAAAGCCGGUCUCAGUUCGGAUCGGGGUCUGCAACCCGACCCCGUGAAGUCGGAGUCGCUAGUAAUCGCGAAUCAGCAAUGUCGCGGUGAAUACGUUCCCGGGCCUUGUACACACCGCCCGU